CAGGAAGAUGCUAACUUCCGGGUAAACCGAUCCAACCCGCCACCACGCAUGCGCACCGUGUCGGACUGGGCUCGUUGGACGCCAACAGAUUGAGGCGUCGGCUGUGUCUCGCGAUCUUUAAUCUGUAAAGAUUUAAUCUAUAAUCUAUAACCACACGGACACUUUUCGUCAGUUAGCCGACAUGAAGUGUCACUUUCCUUCCAACAUGUCGACCUGCCGCUCGCGUCGCUGCCGGUUCUGGACGUUUUCAAACGGAUUCAUGUCGCAGAAGUUCGGCUGGAAAGCGAGAAAAGUGAGACUUCGCCUCUCGGACUCGGACACUCGGUCUGUUCCGUGAAGAUUAGGUUUUUUUCACGUAGUUUUGGAAGCUGCGUUCAGGUGUGUGUGUGUGUGUGUUUCUGCCUCGGGGGUUAAAACGUCUUUCGGAGCUGAACCCGUCAGUUAACCGCGGAGGAGCGACCCGGUCACUUCCGGUGAGCAGGUGACUCUUCUCCCUCUGCGGGGUAUAACAACCAGGUGUGUCUGCUGUUCAUUCACAGACUGACAGGCAGCUCUCUCCAUCCCGGAAUGGACUGCUACAACUCUUCCGAUCCAGCUGCAGUGAACGCCACCAUAGUGUACGACUACAAUGACCACCAGGGAGAUUUGUGGAGCAGAAAUAUUGAGGAUGUUCAGGAUCAGCCUCUCCUCCACUGUUCCUCGACCUCCCUCCCUCUUGAGACGCAGUGCACCGUCUGUCUCAACCAGAUCGUGUACGCCGUCUGCCACAAACUGAAAGACGGUGUGGUUCUGACGAUGGAGGCUCUAGAACGCCACAUCAAAAUCUCCAAGAGCGACUGCCCCAAACUUCUCUCUGACGCUCCUCCACAGUGGCCUCUGGUCCUCCUCGUCGCCCUCCUCGUGCUGGUCCUCCUCAUCUUUGCGGUGUGUUUCUAUCAGAGACAGAAAAGACAGAGAACCCGGACGCCUCAGAAAGCCGGGUCACGUUCCCUCACUGACGUGCAGCAAGAAGCUCCGCUGACGGCCACAUCUUAACUUCUCUAAAGUUGAUAAGAUGAUGAAAUAAAAUCACAAACAGAUGUAAAUAAACUUUUUAAUUGUCAAUCCAAAAAGUGAACUGUGAGCUCGUGUGAUAUCUUCCAGAUCUGCAGUCGCUGAUAAAAUCUUUCUUCCUUUUUCUUUGACAAACACAUCGUCACCUUUUACCGAGUUAAUGCAGUUCAUAGGAAACAAAUCAGGAACUAAAUGUACAGAGAGUCUACUGACGUCCCAACGCUGUCCUCAUCCAUUCACUCUUUAAUGCGGCCAGACCCAGUUUGUGACAAACUGAGACUGAUAUGACUUGAACAUUUUCUGUCUCUCUCCAACACAGUUUUCUGACAUAGAGAGCUGAAGCCCCGCCCCUUCCUGUUCCCCUCCUGGUACCUUAUGGUUUGAAUUGUGUUAUGAAUCACACACGAUAAAAUAUGAAACUGAAAAUACGUGGUUAUAACAGCAUCACAGCUGACAGCUGUUGCAGUUGUCAAUAUGAGCAGAUUUAUCGUGACAUCCAUCUUUUUUGGAACCUUUUCUGGCCCAGUUGGCUCCAUGAUGAGACGGUGUAGUUCAGAGCUUUAACACAAAACUACAUGAGGUUUGACUGUAACUCCAUCAUGUGUGAUAUUCAUGACCCAGUUCAGACCGGAUCAGUACUUUGUCAUCUCUCUUCAGUCACUACAGACAAUGAUUUUCCAAAAUAGGUCCAGUGGGUUUCACGGGACAGGACGAGACUUUGGCUCUCUAUUCUGACUCUUCAGUAACUGUCCCACCAUUUUACACAGUCAAAGGGGACGACUCAUACUUUGCUACCGGAAGUUUGAAGUUUGCAAACACAAUAAACGAUGUUUGCUUUAUUGAAAGUUUCAACCACAAUGUCUCACUUUGUGUCGUUCGGGUCUUUCCAUCUGUAGCUACGUAACUUCUUUCGCCCCUCAGCGAGGAUCAGACAGCUGAAUGAAAUGUGUCAGGAGAGGGUUGACAUCUUCACAGCUGCAGGGGUCAGACACUUCUUCCUCCCGCAGCUUCCUUGGUAGUCUUUCACAUUUCGAGUCAAGAGUGAGACACCAAGAUGAUGAUGAUGAUGAUGAUGAUGAUGAUGAUGAUUACAAUAAAAAGAGGUGACAAUGAGCGAUCAGCAGUGUCAUGUAGAAGAAACCACAGCGAGGAGGUGACUUCUGAGGUGAGAACAGGAAAUGGCAAAGUUUUUUUUUUCUUUUUUUCUCACUUUGCUUGGGUAUUUCUAUGUUCUUUUACUUUUUACUUCCAUGAAAAUGCAAAAUAUUGGUUGUGAUAAUAACACUCAGUAUAAAGUAGAUACUCUGAUCUUCACUUUGACCAAAGUAAUAUCUUAACACGACAUCUUUACAUUCACUCACGUAUGACUUUAUGACUGAAAUCUGUGGUGGAAUAAAAACAAUUACAUUUGCUUCAGUAUAAUUUUGGAAUAUUACAGUAGUCGAGUAUUUAUGAUU
rnacentral:lncRNA from 1 species